rnacentral:misc_RNA from 1 species
AUUGAAAUUGAGUAGAAAAGAAAAAAAAUGAAUUAAAUAAGAAAUUAUGACAUAACAUGAUGUCAUUAGUGUGCCUCCACCCAAUCACAUGGUGACACAUGGCUAUAACUCACUUAAAAUGAGUUAAAUGGGCAGAAAUGAAAGAAAAAAAAUCAGUUUUCCUUUUACUUUCUUCUUCCAUCCGUAGCUCUCCUAACCCUUACCACCAUUAAAGCUUAUCCAAGCUUUAUAACCCACCCAAAUCUCAGUUGAAACCCUAAGUCCACUUUAACAAAAUUUGUCUCUACAUCUUGAGCAAGUGUUUGGCUGCCAAGAAAGCCAAAGAAAGUGAAGGAAUUUUGAGUGGGAAAAUUCUGCUCAAAAGGUUAGUGUCCAAUCUCCUCUUUUUCUUGCUUAAUUCAUGUUUAAGGCCAUGAGUCAAGUGGAAAUUGUCAUAAAAACAUAAUAUAAUUUAUGUGUAUUUAUCUAUACAAUUUCUGCAGCUUAGGGAUGUUAAGGUUUUCAUCAAUUUCCUUGAAACAAAAUGGUAUAUGAACUGCCUUGACAUGAGAUGAGUGUUUAAACAUUUAAGUGCAGGUGAAAUGUAUGUAUGGAAUUAGAAAACUUGGAGACUUGAACAAAACUAGGUUUUGCUCAUAUGAUGGUAUAUGAAAAUUGUAAUGGUCAAUUAGGGACCAUUUGACUAUAUGUGAGGAG